AUGAAUGAAACGACGAAGAUGACGCAAUUGCUUCAAUUGUGCUGUGAGAUGAUGAUAAAGUUACGGAGAAUGAUGCAGAUUUGUGAGGUUUUGGAUUUGGAGAGAAGGCGCAGAGAAGAGAAAGCAGAGAGAGAGAGAGAGAGAUUUUUGUUUUCUUUGGUCGUGAUUCCCCUCCGGAAAUUGAAGAAUGAUGAUGAUUUAGAGAGCAAUUCCUGA